UGGUCAGUAGUGUGAUGGUGUUUAUUAAUUAGUGUGUGUAAGGUGUAUAUAUGGUCAGUAGUGAGGUGGUGUUUAUUAAUUAGUGUGUGGUCAGUAGUGCGAUGGUGUUUAUUACUUAGUGUGUGUACGGUGUAUAUAUGGUCAGUAGUGCGAUGGUGUUUAUUAAUUAGUGUGUGUGAGGUGUAUAUAUGGUCAGUAGUGUGAUGGUGUUUAUUAAUUAGUGUGUGUGAGGUGUAUAUAUGGUCAGUAGUGCGAUGGUGUUUAUUAAUUAGUGUGUGUGAGGUGUAUAUAUGGUCAGUAGUGCGAUGGUGUUUAUUAAUUAGUGUGUGUGAGGUGUAUAUAUGGUCAGUAGUGUGAUGGUGUUUAUUAAUUAGUGUGUGUAAGGUGUAUAUAUGGUCAGUAGUGCGAUGGUGUUUAUUAAUUAGUGUGUGUGAGGUGUAUAUAUGGUCAGUAGUGUGAUGGUGUUUAUUAAUUAGUGUGUGUGAGGUGUAUAUAUGGUCAGUAGUGCGAUGGUGUUUAUUAAUUAGUGUGUGUUAGGUGUAUAUAUGGUCAGUAGUGUGAUGGUGUUUAUUAAUUAGUGUGUGUGAGGUGUAUAUAUGGUCAGUAGUGUGAUGGUGUUUAUUAAUUAGUGUGUGUGAGGUGUAUAUAUGGUCAGUAGUGAGGUGGUGUUUAUUAAUUAGUGUGUGUAAGGUGUAUAUAUGGUCAGUAGUGUGAUGGUGUUUAUUAAUUAGUGU